rnacentral:lncRNA from 10 species
GGGGCCUCUUCAGGCGUCCUGGGCUGAGAGAGAAAGAUGCUAGCUCCGCAAGCCGGGGAGGGAACACCGCCACAUUGUUACAUGGACACACCGCCACGUGGACACAUGACCAGACUCACAUGUACAGACACACGGAGACAUUACCACAUGGAGACACCGUCACACAGUCACACGAACACACUGGCAUAGUCACAUGGACGGACACACAGACAUAUGGAGAAAUCACACUGACACACCACCACACUAUCACAGGGACACAGACACACGGAGACAUCACCACAUGGACACACUGUCACACUACCACAGGGACACGAGACACCACCACACAGAAAUGCGGACACACUGCCACACAGACACCACCACAUCGUUGCCACACUUUCAUGUGUCAGCUGGCGGUGUGGGCCCCACGACUCUGGGCUCUAAUCGAGAAAUUACUUGGACAUAUAGUGAAGGCAAAAUUUUUUU